UUUUGAGGAUAAGUAUAUCCCGUGUAAUGUUUGGGACAUAUUUACCCUAAAA
rnacentral:pre_miRNA from 1 species